rnacentral:rRNA from 1 species
GCCCAGACUCCUACGGGAGGCAGCAGUGGGGGAUAUUGCACAAUGGGGGGAACCCUGAUGCAGCGACGCCGCGUGAGUGAAGAAGUAAUUCGUUAUGUAAAGCUCUAUCAGCAGGGAAGAAUAAAUGACGGUACCUGAGUAAGAGGCCCCGGCUAACUACGUGCCAGCAGCCGCGGUAAUACGUAGGGGGCAAGCGUUAUCCGGAUUUACUGGGUGUAAAGGGAGCGUAGACGGCGAUGCAAGCCAGAUGUGAAAGCCCGCGGCUCAACUGCGGUAGUGCAUUUGGAACUGUAUGGCUGGAGUGCAGGAGAGGCAGGCGGAAUUCCUAGUGUAGCGGUGAAAUGCGUAGAUAUUGCGCAGAACUCCGAUUGCGAAGGCAGCAUACCGGCGGCGAUCUGACGCUGAGGCACGAAAGCGUGGGUAUCGAACAGGAUUAGAUACCCGCGUAU